UUGGUUUGAUACGGGUGGUCGGCUCCCUGCUUGAGCAGGCACGGCCACGCGUGCAUUCCUUUUCAGAUGUGCGGCAAGRCUUGUAUGGUCUUGAUCGUAUAAGUGGGUUUCCUGUGUUGAAUACCUGAUCAACGGCAUCGUUUCGAUCAAAAGCGUACCUUUUUCGUCUAGUGUUGCACCCGCACCAUUGGAUGAACCGUGUAGCAUUCUCUUUGAUCCAUACAAUUGACAUUCAUUGUUAGUUGUUUGGCCCAUUGAGCGUGUCUUGGUCCCUUGAAUAUGGAAGCCAAAGUGGGCACGGGAUCGCAAGAUCCGUUUAGUGCCCUAAUUGAGCGUUUUCGCUUCUCUUACACGACUGCCUCUCACGUAUGGCACGUCCCAGCGUGUUUGGCUAUGUCGAAGAGGAAUGU
rnacentral:misc_RNA from 1 species